AUACGGAAAUCGAGAGGAGGAAUUGAAGCUGCCAGCAAUUGUUAUAUUUACAUACACAGAAAUAGACGGCAGCAGCUGGGAUUAAUACACAGAAACUGAGCUGCUUUGGGGAGAAGACCAGAACAUUAAGGCUGAUUUGUUGCUGAAAUUGGAGAAAACACACACGGGGAAAUUGAGAAGCUUCGGAGGGAGAGAUACAAAAGAAUUGGCACCAGCUUGGGGACUAAAAAAAGGUCAGAAAUCAGUUGCUGGAAUUACAUUAUUAUAUACACCCAAUUGACUGCAACUCGACGGAGAUAAAAGUGGACGGCUGGAACCUAUUCUGGAAGGGGACGGCUGAACAUAAAUUGGGAGAAAUUGGACUGCUUGUUGCUGAAAUCAAUACGCGCAGAAACUGAUACAAAAGAUGGCAGAUUCACGUUUCAAAAAUUUAAUCACAUUCCGUCUAUUAAACCGGGUGAUGUCUUCCAUGAAUUUAUCUUGUUUUUCCUCUAUAAACAUGAGUAGCUAAAUUUAAUUUAGGGCGAACAACGUAAUUUAUUUGGAACCCUUUAUUUCGUUGAUUUAAGAUUCUAGUGCUUUUAUAUCUUAUGCGUUGAUUUUAAUGUUGUGCUUAAUGCUUUUAAUUACUUGAUCACUAAUUAAAUGAUUUGUGAGCGAUGAUUGCGUAGAGAUGCGGAUUAUUUGUUUAGACCACAUGUUAAAAUCCGGUAAAUCGAUAUAACGUGUAGAGAUACUUAUGUUGAUUGCUGCGGUCGUGUGUGAAUUCUUAGAACCAGUGUUGCGUUUAAUUAAUUUUAAUUUGCAUAGAGAUAUGGAAUUGAACUAAUUAAAUAGGCUCAACGAGAAUUCGAGAGGGGUAAGUUGAAUACCAUAGAAGAAUUCGACCGAACACUACUUUAGGUUGUAUG
rnacentral:lncRNA from 1 species